GUCAAUGCAGUUUAAUUCAUUAAUAUGUACUCAGCUUAUUAAAAAUAAACACUGUGCAUCAUCCAUUGGAAUUGCAAAUGCUAUUUCAGGGUGGUUUUAACUCUGUGUGUGUGAUAAAUGUGACAUCUCUGAUUUAACUGAUUGUUGGAGAGCUGAAGGGUUAAAGGUUCCAGAUGACCUUGAUUCAUUGUAUUUGUGUAGGGUCUAUCAGGUAUCAGGCGGCUUUAUCUUUGGCCAUUAUUGCUGAAACUAAAUUAUAAUAGCAGUUAUAUUGAGUUUUCUGUAAUGCAAUACGAGAACACAAUGAACAACUCUCCUCAGUAAUGACCUCACAAAAAUCAAGCAUCUUGCAGUUUCUCUGCACCAGGGCUGACGAAAAUUGGCACAAAUGUCUGAGCGGGGAUUGCUUGUGUUUGUGUGUGUGAGAUACAGAUCCCCUGAUCUGCUGGCGUACAGUAUGACAUGUGCCUGUUUCUUUUGCAAGCUUUUGAUUCACGUCUAGGCUGCUUCUAAAAAUAACCGCAAGCAGAGCGGGACAGCGGCCUGUCUCUGGAGAGAGAGAGAAAGAGAGAGACAGGACAUGGGCAGUGCUCCUCUCUUUUUCUUUCUCCCUCUCUCGCGCUCUCUCUCCAGUCAUUUUGUUCAGCAGCACAGUCGCGCCUCAGAGCAGCUGCUAACACACACACAUACAUACACACACACACACACACACACACACACACACACAGACUCUGCAGCAAAUGUAGUGGUACUCACAAUGAGACCGUGGACAGUGUGAGAAAAAUCCACACAGAGAGAGGGAAGGAAACAGGUAGACUGAAACAGAACAAAACAGACGCAAAAAGGGAACUUACAGUCCAUUUCUAGGCAGAAGUACAGAAGAAGACGUCUACUGGACAGGAUUCAGAAUCAGCACAUGUGAAAGAGACACGUUCACAGCGGCCAGAUGCCUGUAUUCAAGAUGUUCGAACCCAAGCAGGAUGAGCCACGUGACCUCCGGUUCGGGGAAUGACCUCUGAGGAUGACCGU